rnacentral:rRNA from 1 species
AGUGAACGCUGGCGGUAGGCCUAACACAUGCAAGUCGAACGGCAGCACAGUAAGAGCUUGCUCUUACGGGUGGCGAGUGGCGGACGGGUGAGGAAUACAUCGGAAUCUACUUUUUCAUGGGGGAUAACGUAGGGAAACUUACGCUAAUACCGCAUACGACCUACGGGUGAAAGCAGGGGAUCUUCGGACCUUGCGCGAUUGAAUGAGCCGAUGUCGGAUUAGCUAGUUGGCGGGGUAAAGGCCCACCAAGGCGACGAUCCGUAGCUGGUCUGAGAGGAUGAUCAGACACACUUGAACUGAGACACGGUCCAGACUCCUAAGGGAGGCAGCAGUGGGGAAUAUUGGACAAUGGGCGCAAGCCUGAUCCAGCCAUACCGCGUGGGUGAAGAAGGCCUUCGGGUUGUAAAGCCCUUUUGUUGGGAAAGAAAAGCAGCAGGUUAAUACCCCGCUGUUCUGACGGUACCCAAAGAAUAAGCACCGGCUAACUUCGUG